ensembl:lncRNA
AAGACCUCAUCUUGCAUUUCUUUUAGAUAAGAAGCCUGGUACACACAGUUCCCACCUGUGCCAUUCCAGCUCGGAAGGAAAAGAGCCAGCUUCCAAGUGAUUGCCUUCUUCUCCACACUAUUCCUCAAAGAUCCAGCAGAAGCCGGGCUUUGCUGGGCUUGCAGCCUUUUCUGCAGCACAAAUAGAGCUGUAAGUGGAACACUUCCUCUGGGAUUUUGUUUUUCCUCCCUGCCAAAUUCAUGGGCCAGGCCAAGUCCCCGCUUGCUCAGGCAGGCGGUCGGCUGGGAGCAUCUUACUGUUUGCAGAGAGGAGCUGGUGGAACCUCACACUCCACAAUGAGACUAUUGCGGCGAAAUGCAUCUGGCGGGAGGAGAUACUUGCAGCAAAUGAGGGUGAGAAGAACUGAGUGCUGGCAACCCUAGCAAGCUGGAUUCCCCAUAUGAACUUGAAGGAUUUGGCAGAACUCAAUUACAUUUUUAAACAGUUACUGUAAGUGUAAAUGUUAUUUUAUCCACCCCCUUGAACUGUAUCAUCCUGGCCUGCUACCAGGCAACCACACCCACGCUCCUACUUUUACAGCUGCAGAGUUUGGGUCAGGUCUACGUUCUGUACAACUCAAAACCUAUUAUUAAAGCAAUUCAUUUGCAAAUAAAUCACCUUUCUUACGCAGCCCUGAGUAAAAAAAAUGAGUAAAACAAGAGUAUGUGAGCGUGAGCUCGUUUGCUGAAUGCAAAUCCUGCUGCCUUCCCUCCCCUGACCACAUUUGAAUAAGCAAUAAGAAGGUUGCACGGUAUUUGAUCACCAAGGCGCUUCUUACUUCAUUCAGAUUCUGAGAAGCUGAUACAGUAAUCAUUGAAGAAAAAUAAAAUGAAGAAAAGAAAAAGAGGUUCGCCAGGAGAUGUCUCUUCUCAACAAAACAGGAAGGAUCAAAGGACCCUACAGCUCAGGGGUCAAGGCCAGCAGGCUGACACGAAGCCAGAGCGCGACAGGGGAUGUAGUAUUAUCUCAUUUUCAUGAGAUGAUAGGAGAAGCACUCCUAGGUUCAUGCAAACCUGGCCCCAGGUGGCUCAGAGCAGUGCCUGGUGGGCUUUGGGCGCAGCAGGACUUCAAUUACUGUGGAAGGCCUGAAGCUGCUGAGUGAUUUCAGAGAGGAAACAAGCAGCCUUACUUUCAGAAGCACCUUGCAUUGUCCAGUUUUACAUUCCUUGGGGUCCAGCUCUGAACUCUUUCAGGGCCUCAAUGUCUACGUCAACCUGCACCUUUUCAGUUUUUCAGUAAGACAUAGGAUAUGCAUGAGAACUGCAACCCCUUUUAUUGUAACUCAAACCUGGCCUCCAAGUUUCAUUUUAUCUUUAAAUAAAACAAAUAAAGGAAUAGCUUGUUAUUAAGAACAAUAUUGUUUUAUGCUUGCUGCAAUAUACACAAAUAUACAUAAAGAUUAGUCAGCUUUCAUGUGAUGAAUUAAACCACUG